rnacentral:rRNA from 1 species
GACGAACGCUGGCGGCGUGCUUAACACAUGCAAGUCGAACGCUGAACCCGCUUCGGUGGGGGAUGAGUGGCGAACGGGUGAGUAACACGUGGGCAACCUGCCCCCGGCUCUGGGAUAACUCCAAGAAAUUGGGGCUAAUACCGGAUGUGACCGCUGGCCGCAUGGUCUGGUGGUGGAAAGGGUUUCCGGCUGGGGAUGGGCCCGCGGCCUAUCAGCUUGUUGGUGGGGUAGUGGCCUACCAAGGCGACGACGGGUAGCCGGCCUGAGAGGGUGACCGGCCACACUGGGACUGAGACACGGCCCAGACUCCUACGGGAGGCAGAAGUGGGGAAUAUUGCGCAAUGGGCGGAAGCCUGACGCAGCGACGCCGCGUGGGGGAUGACGGCCUUCGGGUUGUAGACCUCUUUCAGCAGGGACGAAGCGCAAGUGACGGUACCUGCAGAAGAAGCACCGGCCAACUACGUG